rnacentral:rRNA from 1 species
UACGUAGGGGGCAAGCGUUGUCCGGAUUUAUUGGGCGUAAAGAGCGUGUAGGCGGCCUGAAAGGUCCGCUGUGAAAACUCGAGGCUCAACCUCGAGACGUCGGUUGAAACCAUCUGGCUAGAGUCCGGAAGAGGAGAGUGGAAUUCCCGGUGUAGCGGUGAAAUGCGCAGAUAUCGGGAAGAACACCCGUGGCGAAGGCAGCUCUCUGGGACGGUACUGACGCUGAGACGCGAAAGCGUGGGGAGCGAACAGG